rfam:Omnitrophica bacterium RIFCSPHIGHO2_02_FTLL_63_14 rifcsphigho2_02_scaffold_26358, whole genome shotgun sequence.
UUGACGGAGAGUUUGAUCCUGGCUCAGAGCGAACGCUGGCGGCGUGGUUAAGGCAUGCAAGUCGAGCGAUCCCGCAGCAAUGCGGGAUAGCGGCAAACGGGUGAGUAACGCGUAGGUAACCUACCCUGAAGUGUGGGACAACCCCGCGAAAGCGGGGCUAAUACCACAUGCGCUCGCAGGCUGCAUGGUCUGCGAGGAAAGAUGGCCUCGACCGAAAGGUUGCUAUCACUUUAGGAGGGACCUGCGUCCCAUCAGCUAGUUGGUAGGGUAACGGCCUACCAAGGCAUUUGACGGGUAGCUAGCCUUAGAGGGCGGUUAGCCACACUGGGACUGAGACACUGCCCAGACUCCUACGGGAGGCUGCAGUCGAGAAUAUUUGGCAAUGGGCGAAAGCCUGACCAUGCGACGCCGCGUGCGGGAUGAAGGCCUUCGGGUCGUAAACCGCUGUUACGAGGAACGAACGCUUCGUCUGCGAACAGUGGACGGAGCUUGACGGUACCUCGAGAGAAAGCCACGGCUAACUCCGUGCCAGCAGCCGCGGUAAUACGGAGGUGGCGAGCGUUGCUCGGAUUUACUGGGUGUAAAGGGCACGUAGGCGGUCCGGUAAGCCCUGCUUGAAAUGCUCUGGCUCAACCAGAGCACGCGGCGGGGGACUGCCAGACUUGAGGGUGAGAGAGGCGAGCGGAAUUCCCGGUGUAAGGGUGAAAUCUGUAGAUAUCGGGAGGAACACCAGUGGCGAAAGCGGCUCGCUGGCUCAUUUCUGACGCUAAGGUGCGAAAGCUAGGGGAGCAAACAGGAUUAGAUACCCUGGUAGUCCUAGCCGUAAACGAUGGACACUAGGUGUCGGCUCCGUCAGGGGUCGGUGCCGCAGCUAACGCGCUAAGUGUCCCACCUGAGGAGUACGGCCGCAAGGUUGAAACUCAAAGGAAUUGACGGGGGCCAGCACAAGCGGUGGAACAUGUGGUUCAA